rnacentral:snoRNA from 1 species
AUCCCAUGAUGAGAACACUUAUGAAUUAACUCCUUGAAUCGAUCUCAAGCCUCAUACAAAGACUUGUCAUCCAAUUGUUAGAAAGUUGUGUUCUCGUUCCUCAACUU